GCCCGCGAAGCCCAGAGGCCGUUGAGUUGAGCAAAAGCUUCCGGAUAAGAGAGAGAGAGAGAGAGAGAGGGGACCGUACAGCAAUGGCGACUCUGCAAUUCACCGAUUAUUCCAACCCAAUUAUCUUGCAGAGAUCCUCGCUGAACGCUCUGUUUAUAAGGAACCGCCACCACCGAAACUCUCAAGCUCGGUUCGUCACUAGAGCUUCUCUUCACCAACCUUCUAUGAAUCGUAGGCAGUUCAUAGCCGAAACAGCAGCAGUUUCUUUAUCUCUUGCACCUCUUAGCGGCUUCGUAGAACCCGCGAAAUCCGAAGAAGCUCUUUCCGAGUGGGAGAGAGUUUACCUCCCGAUUGAUCCUGGGGUUGUCCUUCUCGAUAUUGCUUUCGUGCCUGAUCAAUUGAAUCACGGCUUUCUUUUGGGGACAAGGCAAACUAUUUUGGAGACAAAAGAUGGGGGAAACACUUGGGUUCCACGUUCAAUACCAUCUGCAGAAGAUGAGGACUUCAACUACAGAUUUAAUUCUAUUAGCUUCAGAGCGAAGGAAGGAUGGAUUGUUGGAAAACCUGCAAUCUUGUUGUACACAUCAGAUGCUGGUGAAAGCUGGGAAAGGAUACCACUAAGUGCUCAACUUCCUGGUGAUAUAGUCUACAUAAAAGCAACUGGAGAAAAUAGUGCAGAGAUGGUUACUGAUCAAGGAGCAAUUUAUGUUACAUCAAAUAGAGGGUACAAUUGGAGAGCAGCUGUUCAAGAGACUGUUUCAGCUACUCUUAAUAGAACAGUUUCUAGUGGUAUUAGUGGUGCAAGCUAUUACACUGGAACAUUUAAUACAGUAAACCGCUCUCCUGAUGGGAACUAUGUUGCUGUCUCAAGCCGUGGCAAUUUCUAUCUAACUUGGGAGCCUGGACAGCCAUACUGGCAACCACAUAACAGGGCAGUUGCAAGGAGAAUCCAGAAUAUGGGCUGGAGAGCUGAUGGUGGUCUCUGGCUUCUUGUACGUGGUGGUGGCCUUUUUCUCAGCAAAGGCACAGGAAUAACAGAGGAAUUUGAUGAAGUUCCAGUUCAAAGUCGUGGUUUUGGCAUUCUUGAUGUUGGAUAUCGAUCAAAGGAUGAAGCCUGGGCAGCUGGAGGCAGUGGGGUUCUGUUGAGAACCACAAAUGGUGGGAAGACAUGGAUCCGUGACAAAGCAGCUGACAAUAUUGCCGCAAAUCUAUAUUCAGUGAAGUUCAUUAACGAUAACAAAGGCUUUGUGUUGGGAAAUGAUGGUGUUCUGCUUCGGUACCUUGGAUGAUUUGACAGCUAAAUGUCCUCAUGUAUGGAAACUUAUUCUUUGAGUCGUCAAUUUGCUAGUGCCAACCGUUCCACCAAGAAAAUUUGGUUUACCAAUUGCACAUUUUCGUACCAUCAAAAGUCGGUUCUCGUGAUGUAACAUAUCUGGAAAAGCUCUGUUGAAUUUUGGAAGCAUAUCCAUUUUUCUACUUUCCAAGUCAGAGGUAUGAUGCAACCAUAUCUGGAACAGUUGUUUUGUAUUUGUGAAGUUAAUGUAAUAUUCAAAUUUAUUCUUGUAACAUGUACAUCGCGUGACUGUUGUAAUAUUUUAAAAUUUAAAAACCCAGUUUUACA